rnacentral:misc_RNA from 1 species
GAUGAAGAACGUAGCGAAAUGCGAUAAGUAGUGUGAAUUGCAGAAUUCAGUGAAUCAUCGAAUCUUUGAACGCACAUUGCGCCCUUUGGUAUUCCAAAGGGCAUGCCUGUUCGAGCGUCAUUUGCACCCUCAAGCUUUGCUUGGUGUUGGGCGUCUUGUCUCUAGCUUUGCUGGAGACUCGCCUUAAGGUAAUUGGCAGCCGGCCUACUGGUUUCGGAGCGCAGCACAAGUCGCACUCUCUAUCAGCAAAGGUCUAGCAUCCAUUAAGCCUUUUUUUCAACUUUUGACCUCGGAUCAGGUAGGGAUACCCGCUGAACUUAAGCAUAUCAAUAAGCGGAGGA